GUGGGGAAUCUUGCGCAAUGGGCGAAAGCCUGACGCAGCCAUGCCGCGUGAAUGAUGAAGGUCUUAGGAUUGUAAAAUUCUUUCACCGGGGACGAUAAUGACGGUACCCGGAGAAGAAGCCCCGGCUAACUUCGUGCCAGCAGCCGCGGUAAUACGAAGGGGGCUAGCGUUGCUCGGAAUUACUGGGCGUAAAGGGCGCGUAGGCGGACAGUUUAGUCAGAGGUGAAAGCCCAGGGCUCAAACUUGGAAUUGCCUUUGAUACUGGCUGUCUUGAGUACGGGAGAGGUGAGUGGAACUCCGAGUGUAGAGGUGAAAUUCGUAGAUAUUCGGAAGAACACCAGUGGCGAAGGCGACUCACUGGCCCGUUACUGACGCUGAGGCGCGAAAGCGUGGGGAGCAAACAGGAUUAGAAACCCCUGUAGUCC
rnacentral:rRNA from 1 species